rnacentral:rRNA from 1 species
ACGGGUGAGUAACACGUGGGCAACCUGCCUGUAAGAUGGGGAUAACGUUCGGAAACGGACGCUAAGACCCAAUAAGUGAUUGGAUCGCAUGAUCGGAUCAAGAAAAAGGGUUUCGGCUCUUGCUUACAGAUGGGCCUGCGGCGCAUUAGCUAGUUGGUGAGGUAAGAGCUCACCAAGGCGACGAUGCGUAGCCGACCUGAGAGGGUGAACGGCCACACUGGGACUGAGACACGGCCCAGACUCCUACGGGAGGCAGCAGUAGGGAAUCUUCCGCAAUGGACGAAAGUCUGACGGAGCAACGCCGCGUGAGUGAUGAAGGUUUUCGGAUCGUAAAGCUCUGUUGCCAAGGAAGAACACUUAGAAGAGUAAUUGCUUUUAAGAUGACGGUACUUGAGAAGAAAGCCCCGGCUAACUACGUGCCAGCAGCCGCGGUAAUACGUAGGGGGCAAGCGUUGUCCGGAAUUAUUGGGCGUAAAGCGCGCGCAGGCGGUUAUUUAAGUCUGGUGUAUAAGGCAUUGGCUCAACCAAUGUUCGCACUGGAAACUGGAAGACUAGAGUGUAGGAGAGGAAAGUGGAAUUCCACGUGUAGCGGUG